rnacentral:rRNA from 1 species
AUUCCAGCUCCAAUAGCGUAUAUUAAAGUUGUUGUGGUUAAAAAGCUCGUAGUUGGAUCUCGGCGGUCUGAGGGCGGUUCGCUUCAGAGCGCUACUGCCCUAUAGACCGUAGUUUUGCCAGAGGUCUCAGGGUGCUCUUAACCGAGUGUCUUGCGAUGCUGGCAGGUUUACUUUGAAAAAAUUAGAGUGCUCAAAGCAGGCUUUUACGCCUGAAUAUUCGUGCAUGGAAUAAUAGAAUAGGACCUGUGUUCUAUUUUGUUGGUUUCUAGGACGUAGGUAAUGAUUAAUAGGGACAGUUGGGGGCAUUAGUAUUUAAGUGUCAGAGGUGAAAUUCUUGGAUUGCUUAAAGACUAACUUCUGCGAAAGCAUUUGCCAAGGAUGUUUUCAUCG